rnacentral:rRNA from 1 species
CGGGGGGAGCAAGCGUUGUUCGGAUUUACUGGGCGUAAAGGGCGCGUAGGCGGCGUCUGCAAGUCGACUGUGAAAUCUCCGGGCUUAACCCGGAAAGGUCAGCCGAUACUGCAGGGCUAGAGUGCAGAAGGGGCAACUGGAAUUCUCGGUGUAGCGGUGAAAUGCGUAGAUAUCGAGAGGAACACCUGCGGCGAAGGCGGGUUGCUGGGCUGACACUGACGCUGAGGCGCGAAAGCUAGGGGAGCGAACGGGAUUAGAUACCCCGGUAGUCCUAGCCUUAAACGAUGAAUGCUUGGUGUCUGGGGUUUUAUAGUCCCCGGGUGCCGUCGCUAACGCUUUAAGCAUUCCGCCUGGGGAGUACGGUCGCAAGACUG